GUUAACCAGAUCUAGGACUCCUCUGUCUUGCUAUGAUGGACAGCCACAGGGAUUCACAUGAUCAAAAGAAGCAACGGUGGAAGCCAGGCUGUUUGUGCUGUGGAUCGAACGGCGGGCCUUGCACAGAAGUGUGCUUUUUUUGUUAUACAUUUAUUACAAAGAGUCUCACAAAAAGAAAAUAUCUCAAAAAGGAUGCCAGGCUAAGAACUUCCACCUGGAGAACUGGGGGAAGGCAGAGCAAUAAUAUCAACGUCAACAUACAGCACCCUCUGGCCAUACUUUAGCAGUUCCAGGAUGGCCAAGAUGAUAUUGUUGAUGUAACAGAAAUGUAAUACGUCAGACUUCUUUACAUGAUGCAGUCCCCCAGCCUGGCUCUCAGUGAUGUCCAUCUGAUGUUUAUCAAGCUUCACAGCACUUUCCACAGAGCCACCAAUAGACAACUGACAACUCAAACAGGCCAUCGAUUACCGGGCAGUCCUCACCAACACCGAAUCUCUGUAUCUGCUUGCUGUAUUCAGACACAUUAUCUGGGCGAAUAGAGCACAAGAAUUUAAUGUAGUCAUCACUGUGGGACUUGGUCAUCUCCUCAGUGUUGGCUCUGUGAGGACAAUAGAUUUCCAUUUUUUGGUAGAGAUGUUGUUGAGCAGCAAAUCUUGAGUCAUGUGGAUUCGGUGAAGCUUCAUUGGGUGGCCCUGUCCAUAAAAUAGUUUCCAACAUCCCUGUUAACAGACUUCCUCUUGCCCUGAGUCUGUGCCAUCUUGCUCACCACCCAGCCCUCCUGUCAGUCUGAUGUUUUAAUAUUUUUAGAUGGUGAUGCUUUAACUUUAAAUGGCCUUUGACAAAUGCUAUACUAAUUUCUAAUUAAGACAAAGAAAACAAAUAUGGAUAAGGAACAUAAAUUAUGAAUGGACUGGAAAUAGAAGUAAACUUAUUCAACAAUAAAA